GGAUCCAGACUUUGAUUAUGGCUCAGGAUGAACGCUAGCUACAGGCUUAACACAUGCAAGUCGAGGGGCAGCAUGUUGGUUGCUUGCAACCAAUGAUGGCGACCGGCGCACGGGUGAGUAACGCGUAUCGAACCUGCCUCACACACGGGAACAGCCUUGCGAAAGUAAGAUUAAUGCCCGGUGGUCUUAUAUGAUCGCAUGAUUGUAUAAGUAAAGAUUUAUCGGUGUGAGAUGGCGAUGCGUCCCAUUAGCUUGUUGGCGGGGUAACGGCCCACCAAGGCAUCGAUGGGUAGGGGUUCUGAGAGGAAGGUCCCCCACAUUGGAACUGAGACACGGUCCAAACUCCUACGGGAGGCAGCAGUGAGGAAUAUUGGUCAAUGGACGAAAGUCUGAACCAGCCAAGUAGCGUGCAGGAAGACGGCCCUCUGGGUUGUAAACUGCUUUUAGUUGGGAAUAAAACGCGGUACGUGUACCGCCUUGUAUGUACCAUCAGAAAAAGGACCGGCUAAUUCCGUGCCAGCAGCCGCGGUAAUACGGAAGGUUCGGGCGUUAUCCGGAUUUAUUGGGUUUAAAGGGAGCGCAGGCGGACUUUUAAGUCAGCUGUGAAAUCUGGCGGCUCAACCGUCAGACUGCAGUUGAUACUGGAAGUCUUGAGUGCACACAGGGAUGCUGGAAUUCAUGGUGUAGCGGUGAAAUGCUCAGAUAUCAUGAAGAACUCCAAUCGCGAAGGCAGGCAUCCGGGGUGCAACUGACGCUGAGGCUCGAAAGUGCGGGUAUCAAACAGGAUUAGAUACCCUGGUAGUCCGCACAGUAAACGAUGAAUACUCGCGAUUUGCGAUACAAUGUAAGUCGCCAAGCGAAAGCGUUAAGUAUUCCACCUGGGGAGUACGCCGGCAACGGUGCAACUCAAAGGAAUUGACGG
rnacentral:rRNA from 1 species